rnacentral:rRNA from 1 species
UACGUAGGGUGCGAGCGUUAAUCGGAAUUACUGGGCGUAAAGCGUGCGCAGGCGGUUCGUUAAGUCAGCUGUGAAAGCCCCGGGCUCAACCUGGGAAUUGCGGUUGAAACUGGCGAACUAGAAUCUGGCAGAGGGGGGUGGAAUUCCACGUGUAGCAGUGAAAUGCGUAGAGAUGUGGAGGAACACCAGUGGCGAAGGCGACUCUUUGGCCUGUAACUGACGCUGAGGCGCGAAAGCGUGGGGAGCAAACAGG